rnacentral:rRNA from 1 species
CCUUAUAUAUGCAAGUCGAACGGCAGCGCGGGAGCAAUCCUGGCGGCGAGUGGCGAACGGGUGAGUAAGAUAGCGGAACGUGCCCAAUCGUGGGGGAUAACGCAGCGAAAGCUGUGCUAACAGACGCACAGAGAUCUACGGAUGAAAGCAGGGGACCGCAAGGCCUUGCGCGAAUGGAGCGGCCGAUGGCAGAUUAGGUAGUUGGUGGGGUAAAGGCUCACCAAGAAGAGUAUACUCUGUAGCUGGUCUUAUACGGACGACCAGCCACACUGGGACUGAGGAACGAGCUGGAGCCUACGGGAGGCAGCAGUGGGGAAUUUUGGGAAAUGGGCGCAAGCCUGAUCCAGCCAUGCCGCGUGCAGGAUGAAGGCCUUCGGGUUGUAAACUGCUUUUGUACGGAACGAAAAGUCUCUUUCUAAUAAAGAGGGAUCAUGACGGUACCGUAAGAAUAAGCACCGGCUAACUACGUGCCAGCAGCCGCGGUAACAGAGUAGGGUGCAAGCGUUAAUCGGAAUUACUGGGCGUAAAGCGUGCGCAGGCGGUGAUGUAAGGAAGUUGUGAAAUCCCCGGGCUCAACCUGGGAACUGCAUCUGUGACUGCAUCGCUGGAGUGCGGCAGAGGGGGAUGGAAUUCCGCGUGUAGCAGUGAAAUGCGUAGAUAUGCGGAGGAACACCGAUGGCGAAAGCAAUCCCCUGGGCCUGCACUGACGCUCAUGCACGAAAGCGUGGGGAGCAAACAGGAUUAGGAA